rnacentral:tRNA from 1 species
UAUGAAAUAGGUUAAGUAAAACCUUAAAGUUUAUUCCUUUAAAUUAUAAAAAUUUUUAUUUUCAUUU